AUACGGAGGGUGCAAGCGUUAUCCGGAUUUAUUGGGUUUAAAGGGUGCGCAGGCGGACCUGUCAGUCAGUGGUGAAAUCCCGGGGCUCAACCCCGGAACUGCCAUUGAUACUACAGGUCUUGAAUACGGUUGAAGUAGGCGGAAUGUAGCAUGUAGCGGUGAAAUGCAUAGAUAUGCUACAGAACACCGAUGGCGAAGGCAGCUUACUAAGCCGAUAUUGACGCUCAGGCACGAAAGCGUGGGUAGCGAACAGGAUUAGAAACCCUAGUAGUCC
rnacentral:rRNA from 1 species